rnacentral:rRNA from 1 species
AGGACUAACGCUGGCGGCGUGCCUAAUGCAUGCAAGUCGGACGCAUAUCUUCUUCGGAAGGUGUGAGUGGCAGACGGGUGAGGAACACGCGGACGACCUGCCCCGGGGCGGGGGAUACCCCGUGGAAACACGGGAUAAGCCCGCGUACGCUCCCCUCCUUGGAUGGGGGGAGGAAAGAGUCGCAAGGCUCGCCCUGGGAGGGUCUGCGGCCCAUCAGCUGGACGGCGGGUAACGGCCCACCGUGGCGACGACGGUCGCCGGUCUGAGAGGACGGCCGGCCACACGGGGACUGGGAGACGGCCCCGACUCCUACGGGAGGCAGCAGCAAGGGAUUUCCGCAAUGGGGGCAACCCUGACGGAGCGACGCCGCGUGCGGGAGGACGUCCUUCGGGAGUGUAACGACUUUCCGGGGGGUAGGAGGACGGACGGUACCCCCGGAACGGAAGGACCCGGGCCUAACGUACGUCGCCGACGCAGCCGCC